CAAGUGGCAAACGGGUGAGUAUAAAAUACGAACGUACUCUGAAGCGGGGAAUAGCCCACCGAAAGGUGGGGUAAUACCCCAUGGUCCCUCCGGGGUAAAGAUGCAAAUCACUUCAGAAGCGGCGUAUUUACUACCAGCUAGUUGGUGAGGUAAUGGCUCACCAAGGCUAUGACGGUUAACGGCUCUUAGCGGAGAGUCCGUCACAAUGGGACUGAGACACGGCCCAUACACCUACGGGUGGCAGCAGUUAGGAAUUUUGCGCAAUGGACGAAAGUCUGACGCAGCGACAUCGCGUGAAGGAUGAAGGCCCUCGGGUCGUAAACUUCUUUUGUUUGGGCAAGAAGCCCUUACGAAUAAGGAACUACUAACUACGCGCCAGCAGUCGCGGUAAUACGUAGGUUCCAAGCGUUACCCGGUUUUAUUGGGCGUAAAGAGUCUGUAGGUGGUUUUUUAAGUCUUGUUUCAAAGACUCCGGCUCAACCGGAGAAAGGGGCAGGAUACUGAAAGACUAGAGUUAUAUCGGAGUUACUGGAAUUGACUGUGUAGGGGUAAAAUCCGUGGAUACAGUCAAGAACACCAAGCGCGAAGGCGGGUAACUAGGUAUAUACUGACACUCAGAGACGAAAGCUAGGGUAGCAAAUCAGAUUAGAGACCUGAGUAGUCCUAGCUGUAAACGAUGUCCGUUAAUUCUUUCUCGAUUUAUCGGGGAGGGAUGUAAGCUAACGCGUUAAACGGACCGCCUGGGGAGUAUAGCCGCAAGGCCGAAACUCAAACGAAUUGGCGGGGAGGCGCACAACCAGUGGAGCAUGUGGUUCAAUUCGAUACGAAGCGAUGAACCUUACCCGGGUUUGAA
rnacentral:rRNA from 1 species